ensembl:misc_RNA Gm27390 predicted gene, 27390
UUACAAGGCCAAGAGACUGAAGUCCUCCAUUUUCUCACAGAACAGGUAGAACAUGGACAACCGCAGUUCACCUUUCCCACACCUCUCUGAUCAUGUGCUUUGGACCUGGGGGGGCCACCGCUGGGGUGUGAGGGUAGCUCGCUCAUUCGGUCCCUGGCCAUUCUUCUGAAACUACC